rnacentral:rRNA from 1 species
GACGAACGCUGGCGGCGUGCCUAAUACAUGCAAGUUGAGCGCUGAAGGUUGGUACUUGUACCAACUGGAUGAGCAGCGAACGGGUGAGUAACGCGUGGGGAAUCUGCCUUUGAGCGGGGGACAACAUUUGGAAACGAAUGCUAAUACCGCAUAAAAACUUUAAACACAAGUUUUAAGUUUGAAAGAUGCAAUUGCAUCACUCAAAGAUGAUCCCGCGUUGUAUUAGCUAGUUGGUGAGGUAAAGGCUCACCAAGGCGAUGAUACAUAGCCGACCUGAGAGGGUGAUCGGCCACAUUGGGACUGAGACACGGCCCAAACUCCUACAGGAGGCAGCAGUAGGGAAUAUUCGGCAAUGGACGAAAGUCUGACCGAGCAACGCCGCGUGAGUGAAGAAGGUUUUCGGAUCGUAAAACUCUGUUGGUAGAGAAGAACGUUGGUGAGAGUGGAAAGCUCAUCAAGUGACGGUAACUACCCAGAAAGGGACGGCAAACUACGU